GACUUCAAUAAUUCCUAUUCUUCUGUCAACAUAUGCUAAGAUCUUGAUGCAUACACAGCCACCAGAUCCGGAGCUACAGAAACAGAUUUGGGAAAUAUUCAGGAAGUAUGAAGGCUGAAUCGAUGUAGAGAUACAGCAACGGGCUGUGGAAUACUUUGAGUUGAGUAAGAAAGGUGCAGCUUUAAUGGACAUCUUAUCUGAAAUGCCAAAGUUCCCUGAGCGACAGUCGUCACUGAUAAAAAAAGCUGAGGAUACUAAGACUGAUACCGCUGACCAAAGUGCAAUCAAGUUGCGUGCACAACAGCAAAAUUCUAAUGCUUUAGUAGUGACAGACCAACACCAUGCUAAUGGAACUCCACCAGUCAACCAGUUAGGUCCAGUAAAAGUUCCAA